ensembl:lncRNA MYHAS myosin heavy chain gene cluster antisense RNA
AGUCUGUGGGAAGGAAAGGCCAGAAGUGACUCCUGCCGUAGCUGCGGCAGGCCUGGAGGCCGUACUGGGACCUGGCCAAAGACCCAGAAGUCCAGCUUUGAAGAAAACCUGGAGAAAGAGAGAGUCACAAAUCAUCUCCAUACUGCAGGAGAUGCAGAAAUGGCAGAAGUGGGAAACAGCCCAAGUGUCCAUCACUAGAGGAAUGCCUGAGUAUACUGAGGCCAGCCUUACUAUAGAGUCCAAGCAGCAAGUGACAAGGAUGAGGUGGCUCUACAUGUGCACGUGUAGAACUGCCCCCAAGACCUUGUGAAAUGCAAAGAAUAUUGAGUAUCACUUUAGAAUAUAUUAAACAACCUAUCAAGAUUAAUGAGCUUAUUCAGAAAAGAAAAUAAGUCCUGAUCAAUUUCAGCGUGUUUGGACCAGCAGAUUCCAGGUGAUGGAUAGGCAGCUUCAUUUUAAUAGUCUGUUGGUACAGGGUGACCUGUAGCCUUUCCAGAAGAGGUAAAAUGAAUCCUCCGGUUGUCACCCCCUCCUUCCUCGCUCCAAUUCCAUCAUUAAUCCCCGUUUGAGGAUUUGAGUGCUGCCGAGGACUGACAGACUCCAUGAGGUUCAGCUGCUGCCUGGUACAUGUGGUCACCUGCAGCUUCUUCAGCCCUACAUAUAUUUUGUGCUGUUUUAGACUGCUCUUUCUUCCAUUAAAUGAGAGAUUAGAUCUGAAUGGCCACGUGAUCUUCUGAGUCCCAUCUGUAAGAAUCUGCAUUUCCACGGAAUUGGGGGAGCAAACGUUCUCAAAACAUUCUUAAAUGCAAACCCGCAGGCACAGCAUGUGUCUGUCAACUCCAAGAGCAUUUGGAUGUUCGAAGGGAGAGGAUGUUUGACAUCUAACCCGUCGUGGAAAGAGGAGCCUCUACUAAAUUCUGGGUGUCAUCCCUGAUGAAGGGAUCUUGCCAGCCUAGGAAGGAGGAGGCAGGAUACAGGAACUGGAGCUCCUUCACCUUGAGAGAACAGGGGUUCAUAGGAGUAUGGUGGCUGUCUAAUGACCCUGGAAGAUCCAAGAGAGCAGAUUUAUUCCGUGUGUGUCUCCAGCGCCCAGACCCAGGGUCAGGAGGUGGAGUUCUCAAAACGGGAGUUCAGCUGUGUGACAAAGCAUCUUGCUAGCCAGGAGGGGCUGCCUUCUGCUGGAAAAAGUGGGAUAACUUUGAAAGAACUUAAGCUGGAAGUUACUGGGAUGUUUAUACAGGAGAGUCAGUGGUGGGGAGAAGAUUGGGGUUUAAAAUAUUAAAGCUAUGGCAGGGUGCUGUGGCUCACGCCUGUAAUCCCAGCACUUUGGGAGGCUUGAGGCUGGAGGAACGUUUGGGCCCAGGAGUUCAAGACCAGCCUGGGCAACGUAGUGAGACUCUGUCUCCACAAAAAAAUUUUAAAAAGCAUGGUGGUGUGCGGCCGAGCGCGGUGGCUCACGCCUGUAAUCCCAGCACUUUGGGAGGCCAAGGCGGGCGGAUCACGAGGUCAGGAGAUCGAGACCAUCCUGGCUAACACAGUGAAACCCCAUCUCUACUAAAAAUAAUAAUAAAAAAAA